CCUACGGGUGGCAGCAGUGGGGGAUAUUGCACAAUGGGGGAAACCCUGAUGCAGCAACGCCGCGUGAGUGAAGGAGUAUUUCGGUAUGUAAAGCUCUAUCAGCAGGGAAGAAGAAAGACGGUACCUGACUAAGAAGCCCCGGCUAACUACGUGCCAGCAGCCGCGGUAAUACGUAGGGGGCAAGCGUUAUCCGGAUUUACUGGGUGUAAAGGGAGCGUAGACGGCAGUGCAAGCCUGAAGUGAAAGCCCGGGGCUCAACCGCGGGACUGCUUUGGAAACUGUCUAGCUGGAGUACAGGAGAGGCAGGCGGAAUUCCUGGUGUAGCGGUGAAAUGCGUAGAUAUUAGGAGGAACACCGGUGGCGAAGGCGGCCUGCUGGACUGAAACUGACGUUGAGGCUCGAAAGCGUGGGGAGCAAACAGGAUUAGAUACCCGAGUAGUC
rnacentral:rRNA from 1 species